UACAGAGGGGGCAAGCGUUAUUCGGAAUUAUUGGGCGUAAAGGGCGCGUAGGCGGCCUGGCAAGUGGAAGGUGAAAUCCCUCGGCUUAACCGAGGAACUGCCCUCCAAACUGCUUGGCUUGAGUCCGGGAGAGGUGAGUGGAAUUCCCAGUGUAGCGGUGAAAUGCGUAGAUAUUGGGAGGAACACCAGUGGCGAAGGCGGCUCACUGGACCGGAACUGACGCUGAGGCGCGAAAGCAUGGGGAGCGAACAGG
rnacentral:rRNA from 1 species